rnacentral:rRNA from 1 species
CUGGAACGGGACGNCUUAGAGGGUGAGAGCCCCGUACGNUUGGACGCCUAGCCUCUGUAAAGCUCCUUCAACGAGUCGAGNAGUUUGGGAAUGCUGCUCAAAAUGGGAGGUAAAUUUCUUCUAAAGCUAAAUACCGGCCAGAGACCGAUAGCGCACAAGUGGAGUGAUCGAAAGAUGAAAAGCACUUUGAAAAGAGGNUUAAAUAGCACGGGAAAUUGUUGAAAGGGAANNGUUUAUGACCGGACUUUUUCCUAGGGGAUCAUCCGGUGUUCUCACCGGUGCNCUUCGCUAGGUUUAGCCCAGCAUCGGUU